rnacentral:rRNA from 1 species
CCUACGGGAGGCAGCAGUGGGGAAUUUUCCGCAAUGGGCGCAAGCCUGACGGAGCAAUACCGCGUGAGGGAUGAAGGCUCUUGGGUCGUAAACCUCUUUUCUCAGGGAAGAAUACUGACGGUACCUGAGGAAUAAGCAUCGGCUAACUCCGUGCCAGCAGCCGCGGUAAGACGGAGGAUGCAAGCGUUAUCCGGAAUUAUUGGGCGUAAAGCGUCCGCAGGUGGUUUUUCAAGUCUGUUUUCAAAGAGCGAGGCUCAACCUUGUAAAGGGGAUGGAAACUGAAAGACUAGAGUUCGGUAGGGGUAGAGGGAAUUCCAGGUGUAGCGGUGAAAUGCGUAGAUAUCUGGAAGAACACCAGUGGCGAAAGCGCUCUACUGGGCCUGAACUGACACUGAGGGACGAAAGCUAGGGGAGCGAAAGGGAUUAGAUACCCCAGUAGUC